AUGGCUGAGGGAGGCCUUUGUGGGGCCACCGCCCACCAAAUCGCCUCACAAAAUGGCAGGUGCCGCCCGCGAGGUUAUUUACGCUUCCCCUCCACCCGUCCCCGCAGACGAGGAUGUGGUGCUGGGUGGGAUCUCCCGGGCUGGCGCCGGAUGUUUGCAGGGCUGUUGGUGUCGCCUCGCGCAGAGCUCCUCGCAGAUGCACCGAGCUCGCUGCAAGACGGCAUUCGGCUUCCUCGCCCCUGCCCUGCUGUCGGGACGUUGCAGCGAAGCCUUAACGCUCUCCCCAGGAAGCGCGCGCCUCUCCAGCCGGGAGAAAGCCCGGGAUGGGGCGCGCGCAACGGCAGAUGGACAACCGGGCGCUCCUGCAAGCGGCACCUCGGCACGGCACGGCGCACCCCUCCCUUCCCCGGGGCCACCACGAAGCCGGCGCCUUUUGUUGUUUCUCCGYGCCGCACCCUGGCCUCUUGCCAGAGGGCCACCACGUCGCGAGGCAGCCGCCCCCGUGCCCCUCGGGCCUGGAGCUCGGCCCUCGYGCCGCGCCGCGGAGGAGGGAAGCGCAGCCGCGGGGCUGCCCCCGGCCUGCCCUCCCCGGGCAGYGGUGAUGCCAUCCUGCACCAGCCCACGAGCGGCGUUUGGCAACCUGGAGCAUCACUCCGAAAAGGGUUAACGCCGGCCACGGGGACACGGGACAAAGCGUGGACCGUGCCGGGGCCGCCCGGGAGAGCGGAGGCGCCGAACAAUAGCGGGCAGGCGCCCAGCAGCCCGGGCACGGCCGGUCCCGCGGCCGGGGCAAGAUGGGGACGUUUCAACCUACCUGCUCUGCUGGCAGAAGGAAAAGGAGCGGAGCGAGCACUCUCCUCUGCUGGAGAGAGGGGGUCCCGUGUGCUCAGCCAGCUCUCCCACGGCACAAAGGACGCCCAGCGGCUGCCAGGUACCAGAUCAUUCAUGGAGGCUAAAGGGAGCUGCUGGCUGGAGACCURGCAUUUUAAGGAGCUUUUCUUUCCUCUUAACAGAGACGAAGGAGUGCCCCAGCUUCAUCUGUCACUACAGCGCCUACUGCAACGAUUCGUAGGCGUUGUGUUAUGUCCUUGA
rnacentral:lncRNA from 1 species